rnacentral:tRNA from 1 species
AUUUAUAUAGUUUAAUAAAACAUUACAUUUUCAUUGUAAAAAUAAUAAAAUUUUAUUUAUAAAUU